UCUCAGUUAAAACUCCACCCAGCUUUUUCUCUUCCUGAGUUAGCCCAACAUUCCAAGGCCUACCCUAGGCUAACCGAGUAGCAAUUACUGGUGAGUACAGAAGGAGAAGAAAUCCCCUCAGGGCAUUGGCUACUUCCUCUGCCCCACCCCCACUCCUCCUUUGGCUGGCCGGCAAGGGCAAAGAAGGAGAAGGAGAAGGAGAAGGGGGGUGGGGCAGAGGGUUCGCCUGAUGGGGGUGGGGGUGGGGGGGGGGGCUUCGCGCCCUUCCCUUCCCCCGCGCCUCCGCCCUUGAUUGUCGUGCGGCCACCGAUCGCCUGCUGGAGGACGAAGGGUCAGAGGGGGACGUAUUUUGGGCCCGGUCGGGGCCGCUUGACCCCCGCGCGGCGGACCCUCGUGGGUCCCGUUUGCUCCUCGGCGGCGCUGCGUCCUCGAGCGCCCGCGAUCUCGGCUUUUCCGUGUUGCCUCUCCGCCUCUUUCCCCGCGUGUGCCGGGGCGGGCUUUGCCUCCUGCCGCUCUCUUGGGCUCG
rnacentral:lncRNA from 1 species